UACAGAGGGUGCGAGCGUUAAUCGGAAUUACUGGGCCUAAAGCAUCCGUAGCCGGUUCUACAAGUCUUCCGUUAAAUCCACCUGCUCAACAGAUGGGCUGCGGUAGAUACUAUGGAGCUAGGAGGCGGGAGAGGCAAGCGGUACUCGAUGGGUAGGGGUAAAAUCCGUUGAUCCAUUGAAGACCACCAGUGGCGAAGGCGGCUUGCCAGAACGCGCUCGACGGUGAGGGAUGAAAGCUGGGGGAGCAAACCGG
rnacentral:rRNA from 1 species